rnacentral:lncRNA from 1 species
CAGACUGGAAGUAGAGGAAGAGGAUCCAGAAAAAGAAGGUAGUUGACAAACAUAGUCUUUGAGAUAAGAAGGAGUGGUGUGUUACCUUCCAGAUCUUCUGUUGAUAGGAGGCUGUGUAGAGGAAGAAAUAGCAGGAGGUGGAAUAUAAGGAUUGAAAGAUGCAGAAGGAAGAGGUGCAGAAAGUGUGGGGUCAGAAGCAAAAUAAGGAGCAUAGCUGAAAGCAGAAGGAAAAGAGUUAGAAGGAGAAGGAACAGGGGAACCAGGUGGGAUAGAAAUGUGUGUCCCAGAAUCUUGGUAAUCAGAAAAAGGUACAAGAGGAGGUGGAAAAGAAGGGGAACCAGAGGUAAUAGCAGAAUUAGUUGCAAAAGGAAAACAUGUCUCAUGAAACACAACAUCCCUGGACACAAAACAUCUUUUGGAAACUAGAUCAUACAACUUGUAACCCUUUUUGGCAAAAGUUGCAUAUGCAAAACAUCUUUUGGAAACUAGAUCAUACAACUUGUAACCCUUUUUGGCAAAAGGAUAUCCUAGAAAAACACAUGAAAGUGCUCUAGGUUUUAGUUGAUCUCUCUGUGGAAUGGGGACAGUAGCAUAAGCAAGACAUCCAAAUGCUCUCAAAUGUGAGUAAUUAUGAGUCUUACCAUAUAGCACUUGAUAAGGGGAUUUGUUUUGAAGGAUUUGUAUGGAAUCCUAUUGAGCAAAUAUGUGGCAGUUAAUAAAUAGUCCCCCAAAAUGAUACAGGCAGUUUGGCCUGAAAAAGUAAAGCUCUACAAGCUUCAAGAAGUGUUCUGUGUUUCCUUUCAAGAACACCAUUUUGUUGAGUAGUGUGGGGACAGGAAGUUUGAUUGGUAAUGCCAUGUUAGUUGAAGAAAGAAACCCCAUCAAG